GACGAACGCUGGCGGCGUGCUUAACACAUGCAAGUCGAACGGAAAGGCCCUGCUUUUGUGGGGUGCUCGAGUGGCGAACGGGUGAGUAACACGUGAGUAACCUGCCCUUGACUUUGGGAUAACUUCAGGAAACUGGGGCUAAUACCGGAUAGGAGCUCCUGCUGCAUGGUGGGGGUUGGAAAGUUUCGGCGGUUGGGGAUGGACUCGCGGCUUAUCAGCUUGUUGGUGGGGUAGUGGCUUACCAAGGCUUUGACGGGUAGCCGGCCUGAGAGGGUGACCGGCCACAUUGGGACUGAGAUACGGCCCAGACUCCUACGGGAGGCAGCAGUGGGGAAUAUUGCACAAUGGGCUGAAGCCUGAUGCAGCGACGCCGCGUGCGGGAUGACGGCCUUCGGGUUGUAAACCGCUUUCGCCUGUGACGAAGCGUUAGUGACGGUAAUGGGUAAAGAAGCACCGGCUAACUACGUG
rnacentral:rRNA from 1 species